rnacentral:rRNA from 1 species
UACGGAGGGUGCGAGCGUUGUCCGGAAUCACUGGGCGUAAAGGGCGCGUAGGCGGCCGAGCAAGGUCGCGGUGAAAGCCCGGGGCUCAACCCCGGGUCGGCCGUGGCAACUACUCGGCUCGAGCUCUGUAGGGGCGGGUGGAAUUCCGGGUGUAGCGGUGGAAUGCGUAGAGAUCCGGAAGAACACCGGUGGCGAAGGCGGCCCGCUGGGCAGGAAGGUGGAGCAAUCCACCGGCUGACGCUGAGGCGCGACAGCGUGGGGAGCAAACAGG